rnacentral:lncRNA from 1 species
AUGUCUCACACCUGUCUUUGUCACACCUGUGUCACACCCCUGUGUCUCACACAUCUGUCUCACCCACCUGUCUGUGUCUCACCUGUGUCUCACCUGUCUGUAUCUCACCUGUGUCUCACCUCAGUCCUGUCUCACUCCUGUCUGCAUCUCACACCUGUCUCACCUGUCUCACCCAUCUGUCUCACCUGUGUUUCUCACCUGUCUCACACUUGUCACACCUGUGAGUGUCACGCCUGUGUCUGUCUCACUCCUCUCUCACACCCCUGUCUGUGCCUCACCUCUGUGUCUCACACCCCUGUCUCUCUCACCCAUCUGUCUCACACCUGUCUGUAUCUCACCUGUGUCUCACACCUGUGUCUCACCCCUGUGUCACACCUGUCUGUGUCACUGCUGUCUGUGUCUCACCUGUCUGUAUCUCACCUGUGUCUCACCUGUGUCUCACCCGUUUCACCUGUGUGUCUUACCCCUGUCUGUAUCUCACCUGUCUCACACCUGUCUGUGUCACACCUGUGUCACACCCGUGUCACACCCGUCUGUGUCUCACCCCUGUCUCACCUGUGUCUCACCUGUAUCUCACUUGUCUGUGUCACACCUGUGUCUCGCCCCAUCUCACCUGUAUCUCACCUGUGUGUCACACCUGUCUGUAUCUUACUUGUCUGUGUCUCACCUGUCUGUGUCUCACCCCUGUCUCACCUGUAUCUCACCUGUGUCUCACCUGUGUCACACCUGUCUGUGUCUCACCUGUCUGUAUCUCACCCAUGUCUCACCUGUGUCUCACCUGUGUCUCACCUGUCUGUGUCUCACCUGUGUCUCACCUGUCUGUAUCUCACCUGUGUCUCACCUCAGUCCUGUCUCACUCCUGUCUGCAUCUCACACCUGUCUCACCUGUCUCACCCAUCUGUCUCACCUGUGUUUCUCACCUGUCUCACACUUGUCACACCUGUGAGUGUCACGCCUGUGUCUGUCUCACUCCUCUCUCACACCCCUGUCUGUGCCUCACCUCUGUGUCUCACACCCCUGUCUCUCUCACCCAUCUGUCUCACACCUGUCUGUAUCUCACCUGUGUCUCACACCUGUGUCUCACCCCUGUGUCACACCUGUCUGUGUCACUGCUGUCUGUGUCUCACCUGUCUGUAUCUCACCUGUGUCUCACCUGUGUCUCACCUGUCUGUGUCUCACCUGUGUCUCACCCCUGAGCUUGUUUGCAGUUUCCUCCCCGAGGCCCUGGGGUAG